rnacentral:rRNA from 1 species
CCUACGGGUGGCAGCAGUGGGGAAUAUUGGACAAUGGGGGGAACCCUGAUCCAGCGACGCCGCGUGAGUGAAGAAGUAAUUCGUUACGUAAAGCUCUAUCAGCAGGGAAGAAAAUGACGGUACCUGAGUAAUAAGCCUCGGCUAACUACGUGCCAGCAGCCGCGGUAAUACGUAGGGGGCAAGCGUUAUCCGGAUUUACUGGGUGUAAAGGGUGCGUAGACGGAGAGCCAAGUUUGGGGUGAAAUGCGGCAGCUUAACAGCGGCACUACUUUGGAAACUGGCGAACUAGAGUGCGGGAGGGGUAAGCGGAAUUGCUAGUGUAGGAGUGAAAUGCGUAGAUAUUAGGAGGAACACCGAUAGCGAAGGCAGGUUGCUGGAACGUAACUGACAUUAAGGCUCGAAAGCGUAGGGAGCAAACGGGAUUAGAUACCCGAGUAGUC